rnacentral:lncRNA from 1 species
CUACAUAAUGCCGCGUAACAAAAAUGUAAAUACCAGAAAAUUUAUUCCCUCUCCUAAGGGGCAAGCAAUCCUAGUGGGAUGAUGACAGAUAAUCACGGGUGAUCUUUAGUCUUGAAAGAUAAAUUACAGGAUUUCUUAUUAAAAAAGAUAAAUUACAGGAUGAUCUGACUGAAAUCUGUUCUAAACAGCGGCUUGCAAGGAUUCCCGAGCAAUGUCUAGGGCCUCCUCCACUGAGGUUGCGUUUUGAAGUUUGGCUUUAUCAAUCGGAGGCUGUCUUCUGGCAAGUUCAGGCAGGAGCUGAAAUUCCUGAUACACAUAUUCAAAAAACAGCUCUCAGGAUUGAUAAGUUAAGCAUAGAACUAAUUCAGAAUACUGUAUAAUUUAUUUGAUUUAUAGAUUUAUAAGUGCAAAUCUAUAGAACUAUGAGAUGACAGAGCCUGGUUAUUAAUAAUAUUAACAAGUAACGACGAACUUCAAACGAACAUAUCUAAUUCUAUUAUCUACUACACUAGAAAAAUAGUGGAAAUUACCUCAGGGCUCCCACUUUCAACAAGAACUCCCUUAAGCUUACCUGUGUGGCAAUAGCACACUAUUAGUAAAUAACCAGGAUCAAGCAUGGUGCAUGCACUCACAAAUAUAAACGAACAUCUCCCCUCAAGCUCAGAGAUAGUCCAGACAUCUAUACAAAAGUAAGGACAAACAAUCCUUACCAGAUUCAAUCCAAAAAGUAGCUAUUUUAGGAUCAAAGUUUCCAAUUUCAACCGUUUCUCCAACUGUUCAUAGAAAAAUUAGUAUGAGGAACAAGGGGUGAAAAUAGAAAGAAAAUACUGAAAUGAAAGGUCAGUAAAUGAUAAUUAUUUUGAAUAAAUAAUUACCGUUGUCUCCAAAAAACUGCCACCAUACUUUUCUAGGGCUUCCUUCAUAUUCAAAAACCCUUGAGUAGAAGUAUGGAAGAUAAUCAUACCUGAAAAUCACCAAUGAAAUUCAGCAACAUUGACAGGGACAAAAAAAUAAAAAUAAAAAAAAUAAAAAAAAUAAAAAC